CUCCAGGGUGACUGGAAUUGGGGCUUGGUGGGCUGGUCCUUUGCUCUGUGCCAAGCGCUGAGCACUGUGCUGUGAGUCAACAGGAUGUAAAAAGACAGGGACCCUUCCAGCCUGCAUCGUUAAAGUCUGUGAGAUGAAUGCUAAUCACUGACUGCAAUCUCACCAAAGAAGGUUUUCUCUCCUACUUCUCUCUGCGAUUGCAGCAUGUUCUACCUGCAGAUUUGGUCACAUUAACGUCUAAGUGAAGCCUCCGUGUUUUACUCCAGAUACCCUUAGCACCAUUACCCCAAACACACACAGUGUCUGUGCCCGAGCUCCCCAGAGAGACGUUCUGGAAAGCUCCUACAUUCACCUAUGAAGGGAGCAGGAGCAGAAGAAAUUAAGAAGCCUCUUUAGAUCUGCAAAUCCAUCUGCACAAAGGAAGGGCAGGAAGACAGAGACUAAGACAGCGAGAGGGGGCCAGACCCCAGUGUUAGACAAAGUCUGAGAUCCAGGAGGAAAAACAUCAACUAUGGGUGGAACUUAGGGGAGAGGAAGACAAAGAUUAUAAACCAGGGGCCUGCAGGGUCACAAGAGGUGGCUCUGGAGAAGGCCUGAUUCAAAAUGGACACUGAUCUGGCCUGAUGCCCAGACCUGCCACCCGAAAAAAAAUGGACAUUGACUGAAGGUUUGCUGAUUGAAUCCAUAAAGGCUCAGUCAAAUGUGGGUCGAAAGAUAGAGGACGUAUACAGGCAACUUAGGAUCGCUUUCUCCAGACCUGUGCAUUGGACCAAGAUGAGACCAUAGCACCUCUCCUCCUGCAUGUCACAUAAAG